rnacentral:rRNA from 1 species
UACAGAGGGGGCAAGCGUUAUUCGGAAUUAUUGGGCGUAAAGGGCGCGUAGGCGGUUUUUUAAGUCGGAUGUGCAAUCCCUGGGCUCAACCCAGGAACUGCAUCCGAGACUGGAAGGCUAGAGUACUGGAGAGGGUGGUGGAAUUCCUCGUGUAGCGGUGGAAUGCGCAGAUAUCAGGAGGAACACCAAUGGCGAAGGCAGAUCUCUGGGCCGUAACUGACGCUGAGGAGCGAAAGCAUGGGGAGCGAACAGG